UUCAUCUGACCGGGGUGCCUACACCGUGUGGGCUGAGAUCAUACCCGUUGAACCUGAUCUGGGUCAUGCCAGCGAAGGGAGGCUGUUCCAUAUGACA
rnacentral:ncRNA from 2 species